UGAUGAUUCUGGAUUCCCUCUUUGGUUC
rnacentral:piRNA from 1 species